rnacentral:rRNA from 1 species
GAUCAUGGCUCAGGAUGAACGCUAGCUACAGGCUUAACACAUGCAAGUCGAGGGGCAGCGCAGUGUAGCAAUACAUGGGCGGCGACCGGCGCACGGGUGCGUAACGCGUAUCCAACCUUCCCGUUACUCAGGGAUAGCCUUCCGAAAGGGAGAUUAAUACCUGAUGGUGUUCAAAUUCCGCAUGUUAUUUGAACUAAAGAUUUAUCGGUAACGGAUGGGGAUGCGUGACAUUAGGUAGAUGGCGGGGUAACGGCCCACCAUGCCUACGAUGUCUAGGGGUUCUGAGAGGAAGGUCCCCCACACUGGAACUGAGACACGGUCCAGACUCCUACGGGAGGCAGCAGUGAGGAAUAUUGGUCAAUGGCCGAGAGGCUGAACCAGCCAUGCCGCGUGAAGGUCACGGCCCUAUGGGUCUUAAACUUCUUUUGUAAGGGAGCAAUAAGUUUCACGUGUGGGACGAUGAGAGUACCUUACGAAUAAGCAUCGGCUAACUCCGUG